GCAAAGACAGUCAGUGGAUUAAUUAAUCUCACAAGCCCUGCCUGACACUGAGGAAUGUAGGAUUCACACAAACUGUCCCUUAGACCUGGAGCAGCUAUAAAUGUGAAACAGUUCAUCAUGAAAGUUAAAGGAUCUGAAUGUAUCUUAUACUGGGAUGGAUGGAGAUCAGUCUGUGUCUCUGGCCUUUCCCUCCGAGCUUUUAAUAAUUAAUAGUGUUGUGGCUGAUCAGAGAGCAGUCUGCUGCUAUAACUGGCCUGAUCGUGAAGCUUUACCGUCUGUCCAGCUCUGAUUGAAACUGAAGCCUGGCUUUAAUCCACGCCCCUUCACCUGUCAGGCGCUCUCCAUGCCUCCCUUGAGUUUCUUAAUGCUGUGCUCUGCUAGAUGUCACGGCUCGUCAGUUUAGACCGUUUGUGCAUAAAUCACUCUGCGUUUGACUUCCGCCUCCAAUCAGAAGACAUUAUUUACAAAUACUCAUUUACACACGCUGUUGUGACAGUUGGAUAUGCUAAUCUGUGUUGACACACCUGCCGCUUGUGAGCA